rnacentral:misc_RNA from 1 species
AACCUUAUGGACCUGCGGGCGUAUACCUGCGGAGGGAUCAUUACCGAGUUUACAAACUCCCAACCCUAUGUGAACCUACCUAUCGUUGCUUCGGCGGGCUUAGCCCCCGCGCCCUCGCCGGCGCCGGGAAACAGGCGCCCGCCGGAGACCCAAACUCAAUGUUUUUCAUGCAGUAUUAUUCUGAGUGGCAAACGCAAAAAUAAAUCAAAACUUUUAACAAUGGAUCUCAGAUCGGAAGAG